CUGCUGCCUUCCGUAGGAGUCUGGGCCGUGUCUCAGUCCCAGUGUGGGGGGCCUUCCUCUCAGAACCCCUACGCAUCGUCGCCACGGUGGGCCGUCACCCCGCCGUCUAGCUAAUGCGCCGCAUGCCCAUCCGCCGCCGGAUCGCUCCUUUGGCCACCGGAGGAUGCCCUCCGGUGGCGUCACGGGGUAUUAGGCCGCGUUUCCGCGGGUUAUCCCCCUGUGGCGGCCAGGUUGCAUACGUGUUACUCACCCGUGCGCCGGUCGCCGGCGGG
rnacentral:rRNA from 1 species